rnacentral:tRNA from 1 species
AGCAUCUUGGCAGAGCAGUUAAGCAUUUGGCUGCUAACCAAAAGUCGGCAGUUCGAAUCCACCAGCUGCUC